rnacentral:rRNA from 1 species
UACGUAGGGUGCGAGCGUUAAUCGGAAUUACUGGGCGUAAAGCGUGCGCAGGCGGUUUUUUAAGCCAGACGUGAAAGCCCCGGGCUUAACCUGGGAAUGGCGUUUGGGACUGGAAGGCUGGAGUACGGCAGAGGGAGGUGGAAUUCCACGUGUAGCAGCGAAAUGCGUAGAGAUGUGGAGGAACACCGAUGGCGAAGGCAGCCUCCUGGGCCAGUACUGACGCUCAUGCACGAAAGCGUGGGGAGCAAACAGG